rnacentral:siRNA from 1 species
UGUAGGGAUUUGGUCACUCGC